rnacentral:rRNA from 1 species
CCUACGGGCUGCAGCAGUGGGGAAUAUUGGACAAUGGGGGGAACCCUGAUCCAGCCAUGCCGCGUGUGUGAAGAAGGCCCUCGGGUUGUAAAGCACUUUCAGUGAGGAAGAACGCCUGGUGGUUAAUACCCAUCAGGAAAGACAUCACUCACAGAAGAAGCACCGGCUAACUCCGUGCCAGCAGCCGCGGUAAUACGGAGGGUGCGAGCGUUAAUCGGAAUUACUGGGCGUAAAGCGCGCGUAGGUGGCUUGAUAAGCCGGUUGUGAAAGCCCCGGGCUCAACCUGGGAACGGCAUCCGGAACUGUCAAGCUAGAGUGCAGGAGAGGAAGGUAGAAUUCCCGGUGUAGCGGUGAAAUGCGUAGAGAUCGGGAGGAAUACCAGUGGCGAAGGCGGCCUUCUGGACUGACACUGACACUGAGGUGCGAAAGCGUGGGUAGCAAACAGGAUUAGAUACCCUGGUAGUC